rnacentral:rRNA from 1 species
UCAGGAUGAACGCUAGCGGCAGGCUUAAUACAUGCAAGUCGUGGGGCAGCAUGAGUAGCAAUACUUGAUGGCGACCGGCAAACGGGUGAGGAACACGUACACUAACCUUCCUUCAAGCGGGGAAUAGCCCAGAGAAAUUUGGAUUAAUACCCAUAAUAUAUUUGAUAAGGCAUCUUAUUAAUAUUAAAGCUUCGGCACUUGAUGAUGGGUGUGCGGCUGAUUAGAUAGUUGGCGGGGUAACGGCCCACCAAGUCUACGAUCAGUAGCUGAUGUGAGAGCAUGAUCAGCCACACGGGCACUGAGACACGGGCCCGACUCCUACGGGAGGCAGCAGUAAGGAAUAUUGGACAAUGGACGAAAGUCUGAUCCAGCCAUGCCGCGUGAAGGAUUAAGGUCCUCUGGAUUGUAAACUUCUUUUAUAUGGGACGAAAAAAGGGCAUUCUUGUUCACUUGACGGUCCCAUAUGAAUAAGCACCGGCUAACUCCGUG